UGGAAAAUCUCAAUGGAUCACGAUGAUUCGUUUCAGGACCCACUUUGGAACCGCCAUUGCCACGGCGAAAGAAAUGCCCGGAGCUUGCGUACAAAACGCACGAAUUCAUCACGGCAGCCGAUGGGGGUGGUAUCGAUGCCGUCGAUUCCAACGUUGUAGCUGAUAAAGUUCGAGAAGUUACAACGCAGUCGGGUUUACCACCGAGUCAAUUGAGCAAAGCGAUCUCACGGAUCAGCACCGAGUAUCGGUUGCAGUUUGCCUGGCCUAGAAGACCCCAACUGACGAAUGGCGAGACAGUGGCGCCAGGAGUGAUGGCUGCCGGACUCCCUGCAGGGCCCGCCCCGGUUCACAAGAAACGUCCCGGUGAUGUCGAUCAUAAGCGUGAUGGUAAAUGGAACAUCUCGACAAACUUAUAAUCCUCCAGAUGUCCGCUUCCCAAAAGUGUCGUUCAAAGUAGAAAAAAAGUGUCAAAUUUUCAGUUACAAACACGUCUCUCUCUC